rnacentral:rRNA from 1 species
UUGACCUCGAAUCAGGUAGGGAUACCCGCUGAACUUAAGCAUAUSAAUAAGCGGAGGAAAAGAAACCAACCGGGAUUACCUCAGUAACGGCGAGUGAAGCGGUAACAGCUCAAAUUUGAAAUCUGGCUCCCUCGGAGUCCGAGUUGUAAUUUGUAGAAGAUGCUUUGGGCUGUGGGUUCGGCCUAAGAUCCUUGGAACAGGACGUCAUAGAGGGUGAGAAUCCCGUAUGUGGCCCGAGGCCUGCGCCCGUGUAAAGCUCUUUCGACGAGUCGAGUUGUUUGGGAAUGCAGCUCAAAAUGGGUGGUAAAUUUCAUCUAAAGCUAAAUAUGGGCCAGAGACCGAUAGCGCACAAGUAGAGUGAUCGAAAGAUGAAAAGCACUUUGGAAAGAGAGUUAAACAGUACGUGAAAUUGUUGAAAGGGAAGCGCUUGCACCCAGACUUGGGCGCUGCUGAUCAUCCAGAGUUCUCUCUGGUGCACUCGACAGCGCACAGGCCAGCAUCGGUUCGGGUGGCUGGAGAAAGAUCGGAGGAACGUAGCUCCCUUUCGGGGGAGUGUUAUAGCCUCUGGUGCCAUGCAGCCCAGCCGGACCGAGGACCGCGCCUUCGGGCUAGGAUGCUGGCGUAAUGGGUGUAAGCGACCCGUCUUGAAACACGGACCAAGGAGUCUAACAUCUAUGCGAGUGUUUGGGCGUUAAACCCAUACGCGGAAUGAAAGUGAACGUAGGUGAGAACCCUUUGGGGUGCAUCAUCGACCGAUCCUGAUGUCUUCGGAUGGAUUUGAGUAAGAGCAUAGCUGUUGGGACC